rnacentral:rRNA from 1 species
CCCCGGUUUAAGCGUGUAGGCUGGUUUUCCAGGCAAAUCCGGAAAAUCAAGGCUGAGGCGUGAUGACGAGGCACUACGGUGCUGAAGCAACAAAUGCCCUGCUUCCAGGAAAAGCCUCUAAGCAUCAGGUAACAUCAAAUCGUACCCCAAACCGACACAGGUGGUCAGGUAGAGAAUACCAAGGCGCUUGAGAGAACUCGGGUGAAGGAACUAGGCAAAAUGGUGCCGUAACUUCGGGAGAAGGCACGCUGAUAUGUAGGUGAGGUCCCUCGCGGAUGGAGCUGAAAUCAGUCGAAGAUACCAGCUGGCUGCAACUGUUUAUUAAAAACACAGCACUGUGCAAACACGAAAGUGGACGUAUACGGUGUGACGCCUCCCCGGUGCCGGAAGGUUAAUUGAUGGGGUUAGCGCAAGCGAAGCUCUUGAUCGAAGCCCCGGUAAACGGCGGCCGUAACUAUAACGGUCCUAAGGUAGCGAAAUUCCUUGUCGGGUAAGUUCCGACCUGCACGAAUGGCGUAAUGAUGGCCAGGCUGUCUCCACCCGAGACUCAGUGAAAUUGAACUCGCUGUGAAGAUGCAGUGUACCCGCGGCAAGACGGAAAGACCCCGUGAACCUUUACUAUAGCUUGACACUGAACAUUGAGCCUUGAUGUGUAGGAUAGGUGGGAGGCUUUGAAGUGUGGACGCCAGUCUGCAUGGAGCCGACCUUGAAAUACCACCCUUUAAUGUUUGAUGUUCUAACGUUGACCCGUAAUCCGGGUUGCGGACAGUGUCUGGUGGGUAGUUUGACUGGGGCGGUCUCCUCCUAAAGAGUAACGGAGGAGCACGAAGGUUGGCUAAUCCUGGUCGGACAUCAGGAGGUUAGUGCAAUGGCAUAAGCCAGCUUGACUGCGAGCGUGACGGCGCGAGCAGGUGCGAAAGCAGGUCAUAGUGAUCCGGUGGUUCUGAAUGGAAGGGCCAUCGCUCAACGGAUAAAAGGUACUCCGGGGAUAACAGGCUGAUACCGCCCAAGAGUUCAUAUCGACGGCGGUGUUUGGCACCUCGAUGUCGGCUCAUCACAUCCUGGGGCUGAAGUAGGUCCCAAGGGUAUGGCUGUUCGCCAUUUAAAGUGGUACGCGAGCUGGGUUUAGAACGUCGUGAGACAGUUCGGUCCCUAUCUGCCGUGGGCGCUGGAGAACUGAGGGGGGCUGCUCCUAGUACGAGAGGACCGGAGUGGACGCAUCACUGGUGUUCGGGUUGUCAUGCCAAUGGCACUGCCCGGUAGCUAAAUGCGGAAGAGAUAAGUGCUGAAAGCAUCUAAGCACGAAACUUGCCCCGAGAUGAGUUCUCCCUGACUCCUUGAGAGUCCUGAAGGAACGUUGAAGACGACGACGUUGAUAGGCCGGGUGUGUAAGCGCAGCGAUGCGUUGAGCUAACCGGUACUAAUGAACCGUGAGGCUUAACCUA